AUUGAACGCUGGCGGCAGGCCUAACACAUGCAAGUCGAGCGGUUGACGGGAGCUUGCUCCCUGAUUCAGCGGCGGACGGGUGAGUAAUGCCUAGGAAUCUGCCUAUUAGUGGGGGACAACGUUUCGAAAGGAACGCUAAUACCGCAUACGUCCUACGGGAGAAAGCAGGGGACCUUCGGGCCUUGCGCUAAUAGAUGAGCCUAGGUCGGAUUAGCUUGUUGGUGAGGUAAUGGCUCACCAAGGCGACGAUCCGUAACUGGUCUGAGAGGAUGAUCAGUCACACUGGAACUGAGACACGGUCCAGACUCCUACGGGAGGCAGCAGUGGGGAAUAUUGGACAAUGGGCGAAAGCCUGAUCCAGCCAUGCCGCGUGUGUGAAGAAGGUCUUCGGAUUGUAAAGCACUUUAAGUUGGGAGGAAGGGUUGUAGAUUAAUACUCUGCAAUUUUGACGUUACCGACAGAAUAAGCACCGGCUAACUCUGUGCCAGCAGCCGCCGUAACAC
rnacentral:rRNA from 1 species